UGGUGAGUACAAAAUAAGCUUUUGUAGAGCAAGAGUUCCUGACAGUCUGUUGUCAUUUAUAACAGAUAUACUUGGUAAUUGACUCAGAGGAAGACAAUUGCAUCUGCUGAUUCAGCCCCAUCAGUCCUACUAUCAGCCCUAACUGUUCUUGAAGUGUGAGGUGGACUUUCAUGAGCAGAUGAUUAUAUAAAAGGUGUUAACCUUUCAGGAAGUCUUCUUUCUAUAGUGUCAGCAGCAACUCCAACCUGUCAGCUCAGCAGUACUUUACAACUAUUGCAGCUCACUUGGUGUGUGAUAGGGAAGAGAGCAGCAAGAAUGAUACUCAUGCUCUUCCAGGACUGUGAAAAAUGUGAUAUGAGUGGCCAGUUGUUUCUAUAGGAACAAGAGUGCACACCUAUGCUCCAAUUGUUCCUCUGAAAGAAUACAGGUCUUCCGUAGGUCCAGCGAAGACCUUGGGCACCCUAGGGCACAUCAAAUAAUUUCAAAUACCGCUGCAGACAACAGAACCUUUUAUUUGGGAUUUGUUCCUUUUUUUCUUCAUUCCCCCCCCCCCCCGAAAAUAGUCAUGUAAAGUGUAUAAAAUAGUCAUGAAAAAGUCCUACAUGUA
rnacentral:lncRNA from 1 species